GGAAGCGCAGCCUCGCGGGGACCCGGCAGAGGCGGAGAGGUCGCAGCUCCCCAGGGCGCGGUAGGGUCGGAGCUGCGCCCCGGAGCCGGAGCCGAGUCAGAUCUAUCCUGAGAAGCAGAGCCGGAGCUGAAAAGAUCACAUGUUCUUCCAGAAAAAAGAAAAGAAACUCAAAAAUAAAAUAUUUUUGAUAUAUUAUUCAAUCCAAUUGAAAUAUUUUUCAUGAAAUAAAGUGAAAUGAAACCACAUGUGCCCGUUCUAUUUUGGAGAAACGAUCUACAAGCAUGACCCGCGAACUCUUGGCUUCCCCCUUUCGUUGCAAAAUAAACAUGAUGUGCAUUA